ensembl:lncRNA
AAACAGGAAGUAGAACUAGGCGAUACAACUACAUGCUAAAAGGUGGAUAGUCAGCAUUUAGCGCCGUUACAAGGUAAUGUAUGUGUUGAUACUGGAGCACAGUACAUCCAUGGGGCGUCAGGAAAAAAAAACAGUCUUCUGUCUACUAAAAAAGUCUGGCCAUCUCAACCAGAUCCCUGAGAUGAGCUAAGAAACAUUUUACAGUAGCAAGGGACAUAAAAUAGAGGCAAACUUCACCAGAUGUGCAUAUGAAGCUGGAGAGGAAAUCAUUCGAUACCGUGGUUCCAACAUGGGAAGGAGUUUAGGCGAACACUAUGCAGAAAAAACCCAUUGACAGCUUGCAAGAUGAUGAUGAGAAACCAAGAAUGCAAAGUGUUUUUGAUUUGGUCGGAAAAGACAUGCCGAUUGAUGUUUGAGCUUCAGACCUCCAGAGGGAUCUCUCUUGACUCCUGGCAGUAUUAUAUCAACAUGGGUGACAGUCUCAGUGUUGCAGGGUAUGAUGGGUUGAGAAGAUGAUGUACAUUUAUUUGCAGUUAUUGCUCAGUAAAUAAUUCAUAGUGUUAAAUGUUGUGUAUGUAUGUCAGUUUAAUGUUUCCGCUUGUGGAUAUGCUGCUGGAGGACUUCCCUAAAGAUCGUUUGCUGCUGAAAAGAGAAGUUAAGAUCAAAUGGGAUGGAUCCUUUUCUGUUGCCCCUUCUCAUAAUGAACCUCUCCCUGCUCACACCGAAUCUGCUUCUCAAGAAAAAGCCCGCCAGUACCCAGUUCACAUUAUCUGUGAGAAUGGAGAAGACAUUCUAGCUGAUCAUGUAAUUCUGACCAUUUCAUUAGGUUUGGCAAUAUCUUAAUUGGUCGGUGUCCAGGAGACAUAGCUGACCUGGUUGAAACCAUGACAGAUGAUGAGCUCUCAACUGCAAUCACUUAUCAUCUCAAAAUGUUCUUUGGUAAAGAAUCCUCUUUUAGUAAUUGUGAGUGUUUGCUAAUGUGUCAGUUAUAAGACUUUAAGGUUUUUAAAAGUUAUACUCUGCACUAAUUGGCGCAGCAACAAGUUCAUACAAGGAAGCUACGCUUUCCUCACUGUUGGUGUUGCUGGCCAAGUUAUGGACACAUUGGCCCAACCACUAGUGGGCAGCCAGCAUCCUGAACAAGUAUUUUAUUUUUUAUUUUUUUUUAUUUUUGCAUAUAUCAUUAUUUUGAAUUUAACAUUAUAAUGGAAUAUUAUUUUUAUUUAAAUAUGCCUUUGGUUUAUGUGCUAUCAAGCAGAAGGUUUUGAUAAAGAAUAUGUUUAAAAGACAGCUGGGUUUUAUUUCGAUUUUUUACUCCAUAUAUUUCAGGAUCUUCAGAUCCUGUCUGCAGGUGAGGCAACGAUGAAGACUCUUUAUGGCACAGUGCAAGGAGCUCUAUUCUCGGGACACAGGGAGGGACAGACUGGCAGCACAUUAAAAGAAGACUUCCACUACCUCAUUGGACAAACAAGUUUAAAUCUGUUCAUAAUCUAAAAUUUAUUCUGUAAUCUGUGAUGGUGUCCAAUAAGAGGGAAGUUUUCAACUGAGGAUGUGAUCACAACAAGCCUUCCCCCAUGAGGCUGUUCUAUGAAAAAAAAAAAAUAAUUGUAACUUUUUUUGGGGACAAAACUGUUUUAAUUAAUAAAUAAAGAAUGAUUUAAAAAUUU